rnacentral:rRNA from 1 species
UACGGGGGGGGCUAGCGUUGUUCGGAAUUACUGGGCGUAAAGCGUGCGCAGGCGGCUUUGCAAGACAGAUGUGAAAUCCCCGGGCUUAACCUGGGAACUGCAUUUGUGACUGCAUGGCUGGAGUGCGGCAGAGGGGGAUGGAAUUCCGCGUGUAGCAGUGAAAUGCGUAGAUAUGCGGAGGAACACCGGUGGCGAAGGCGGCGACCUGGUCCGAUACUGACGCUGAGGCGCGAAAGCGUGGGGAGCAAACAGG